UACGUAGGGUGCGAGCGUUAAUCGGAAUUACUGGGCGUAAAGCGUGCGCAGGCGGUUUUUUAAGUCAGAUGUGAAAGCCCCGGGCUUAACCUGGGAAUGGCAUUUGGGACUGCAAGGCUUGAGUGCGGCAGAGGAGACUGGAAUUCCUGGUGUAGCAGUGAAAUGCGUAGAUAUCAGGAGGAAUACCGAUGGCGAAGGCAGGUCUCUGGGCUGACACUGACGCUCAUGCGCGAAAGCGUGGGGAGCAAACAGG
rnacentral:rRNA from 1 species